rnacentral:rRNA from 1 species
GUAAUAGCUCACUGGUCGAGUCGGCCUGCGCGGAAGAUGUAACGGGGCUAAACCAUGCACCGAAGCUGCGGCAGCGACACUCAGGUGUUGUUGGGUAGGGGAGCGUUCUGUAAGCCUGCGAAGGUGGCCUGUGAGGGUUGCUGGAGGUAUCAGAAGUGCGAAUGCUGACAUAAGUAACGAUAAAGCGGGUGAAAAGCCCGCUCGCCGGAAGACCAAGGGUUCCUGUCCAACGUUAAUCGGGGCAGGGUGAGUCGACCCCUAAGGCGAGGCCGAAAGGCGUAGUCGAUGGGAAACGGGUUAAUAUUCCCGUACUUGGUGUUACUGCGAAGGGGGGACGGAGAAGGCUAUGUUGGCCGGGCGACGGUUGUCCCGGUUUAAGCGUGUAGGUGUGUGUUCCAGGUAAAUCCGGUUCACUUUAACACUGAGGCGUGAUGACGAGGCACUACGGUGCUGAAGCAACAAAUGCCCUGCUUCCAGGAAAAGCCUCUAAGCAUCAGGUAACAUCAAAUCGUACCCCAAACCGACACAGGUGGUCAGGUAGAGAAUACCAAGGCGCUUGAGAGAACUCGGGUGAAGGAACUAGGCAAAAUGGUGCCGUAACUUCGGGAGAAGGCACGCUGACA